rfam:Felis catus isolate Cinnamon breed Abyssinian chromosome B1, whole genome shotgun sequence.
GCCUGGGUGGCUCAGUUGGUUAAGCGUCUGACUUCAGCUCAGGUCAUGACUUCAUGGUUCGUGGGUUCAAGUCCCACGUCGGGCU